CAUGAGCAAUAGAAGCAUGAAACCAUGGGAAUAAUAAGGAGAGGAUGACAAAUUUCAGCUCAAGAGCAUGGAGGAUAAAGGUUUUAGACCUUUGGAUGGAUCAUAGAAUCUUGCAACCAGGGAUAUGAUUGUGCUUUUCCCACACCCACUGCUACCAACUAACGCCACCGUCUUUCCUGCUGGAAUUUGACAGCGUAAAACCUUGAAGAAUCACUUUAUCUUCUCGGGAUGGCAUAAGUGAUUGAGCUGGAAUGCAAAAGAAGCCACGGUCCAUAAUUAAGGUCAUAUCUUCUUUAUUAUAUGAAGAUUCUUAAAGGCAUCUGAUAUCUUCUUAAGAGGCUCAAAAUGAAAUGCACCAUACAUGCAUUCAUACAAAACUUCAGAGAACCCAAGUAGGACGAUGUUAUUUCCCGUGUCUUGUGCAGAUUAACUAGCUUGAUGAUUGUCAUUGGAUUGCUUAUCUAGUUGCUGUAAGACAAAACAAUCUCAUCCAAAAACUCUUACAAGAAAGUCUGAGAAUGACUUGAUUGCACGAUCCUCUCCGACAAAUGCAAAGACCGAUUUUAUAUGAGAUAUGAUCUGUACGUUGUCAAACAUUAACUCGUGAGUUUCCAGAUGAUUCCCCAUUUCUUAGAUAUUUUAUAACUAAAAAAAUGUGAAGUUUUCUUACCUUUUCCAUGACAGUAGUAGCUUCGGAUAGGUAAAUCAUUUUGGCAGCUAAGAUGGCAUUCAUUUUCUUGGUGUAGGUGGCUCCAAUCAGUAGAAUGAAGGGAACUACAAACAAGGUGACCAGUGAAACUUCCCAACUGCAAAUGAAGGCAAUCAAGACUCCAGAAAACAAUGUGGUGAAGCAUGAAAGGAAGUAACCAGCUGCCAGCAAAAAGUUAUGUUAGGAUGAUCGGCAAAUUUCGGUUGAGAAAUCUCAAGAGCAGUCAACUUGAGGGAGAGAUUGCUACCUUCUCUCCUAUAGAAUCCUGGAUUACCCUCAUGUGAGUACUUAUACCGGCAAUGACUUUUCCACUUGACAAUUCAGUAUCAUCUGACUUCCCGCUUGGCAUGUUUAUGGUAAUAUGCUACACCUAUUGUUAUGAUGAAGAACCCAAAAACAGGCUUUGAGAUUCCAGAGAAACCGGCUGCAAUGGAGCUAAUGGCUGUCUUGACAAGUUUCGUCCUCCUCAACCCAAACCAGAUUCUAAAGAAGUGGACUGCUUCUAAUCUUUUCUUGUGCUCCUCUUGCUCAGGGUCUUCUCUUUCUCUGAGGCUUUCUUCUAUCUCUGUGCCUUUUUGCACUUAAAACUCUGCUUUGAGGUGAGCCAUGGGGUUGGUCAGUUUCAGAAUCCUGUGAAGGUAUAUCAGUUCUGUCAUUCAAUCAAAAACAUGGGCCAAUGAGGACCUCUCUUUUUCUUUUUCUUCUUUUUUAAUCGAAAUAAUUGUCAUAUGCAUACUGUAGGAAAUAAUUAUUAUGAGGCAGCCAACCUUUCAUCACGAACAACACUGAUGUUCUGCAUGCUGAAUAAGCUGUUGUAAAAUUUGCUGUUAUCCAACAGGGUGCUGUGCAUUUCUGUCUC